UACGUAGGGUGCAAGCGUUGUCCGGAAUUAUUGGGCGUAAAGAGCUCGUAGGCGGGUUGUCGCGUCUGCUGUGAAAACGCGAGGCUCAACCUCGCGCCUGCAGUGGGUACGGGCAGACUAGAGUGCGGUAGGGGAGAUUGGAAUUCCUGGUGUAGCGGUGGAAUGCGCAGAUAUCAGGAGGAACACCGAUGGCGAAGGCAGAUCUCUGGGCCGUAACUGACGCUGAGGAGCGAAAGCGUGGGGAGCGAACAGG
rnacentral:rRNA from 1 species